GAAAUGCGAUAAGUAAUGUGAAUUGCAGAAUUCAGUGAAUCAUCGAAUCUUUGAACGCACCUUGCGCCCUCUGGUAUUCCGGAGGGCAUGCCUGUUUGAGUGUCAUGAACUCUCUCUAAUCAGGAUUUCUGAUUAGAGGAUUUGGGUGUUGCCUUUCGGCUCGCCUUAAAUGCAUUAGCGUGGUGUAUAAGUUUCGCCAGCAGCUAUUUUGUUGUUCUCUUACGACACGGGAAAGGGAAACCAAGUACCAUCUCAGACCUCAAAUCAGGUAGGACUACCCGCUGAACUUAA
rnacentral:misc_RNA from 1 species